rnacentral:rRNA from 1 species
UGAGACACGGCCCAGACUCCUACGGGAGGCAGCAGUGGGGAAUAUUGCACAAUGGGCGGAAGCCUGAUGCAGCGACGCCGCGUGAGGGAUGACGGCCUUCGGGUUGUAAACCUCUUUCAGUAGGGAAGAAGCGAGAGUGACGGUACCUGCAGAAGAAGCGCCGGCUAACUACGUGCCAGCAGCCGCGGUAAUACGUAGGGCGCAAGCGUUGUCCGGAAUUAUUGGGCGUAAAGAGCUCGUAGGCGGUUUGUCGCGUCUGCUGUGAAAGCCCGGGGCUCAACCCCGGGUCUGCAGUGGGUACGGGCAGACUAGAGUGCAGUAGGGGAGACUGGAAUUCCUGGUGUAGCGGUGAAAUGCGCAGAUAUCAGGAGGAACACCGAUGGCGAAGGCAGGUCUCUGGGCUGUUACUGACGCUGAGGAGCGAAAGCAUGGGGAGCGAACAGGAUUAGAUACCCUGGUAGUCCAUGCCGUAAACGUUGGGCACUAGGUGUGGGGGACAUUCCACGUUUUCCGCGCCGUAGCUAACGCAUUAAGUGCCCCGCCUGGGGAGUACGGCCGCAAGGCUAAAACUCAAAGGAAUUGACGGGGGCCCGCACAAGCGGCGGAGCAUGCGGAUUAAUUCGAUGCAACGCGAAGAACCUUACCAAGGCUUGACAUUCACCGGACCGCCCCAGAGAUGGGGUUUCCCUUCGGGGCUGGUGGACAGGUGGUGCAUGGUUGUCGUCAGCUCGUGUCGUGAGAUGUUGGGUUAAGUCCCGCAACGAGCGCAACCCUCGUUCUAUGUUGCCAGCACGUGAUGGUGGGGACUCAUAGGAGACUGCCGGGGUCAACUCGGAGGAAGGUGGGGAUGACGUCAAAUCAUCAUGCCCCUUAUGUCUUGGGCUUCACGCAUGCUACAAUGGCCGGUACAAAGGGUUGCGAUACUGUGAGGUGGAGCUAAUCCCAAAAAGCCGGUCUCAGUUCGGAUUGAGGUCUGCAACUCGACCUCAUGAAGUCGGAGUCGCUAGUAAUCGCAGAUCAGCAACGCUGCGGUGAAUACGUUCCCGGGCCUUGUACACACCGCCCGUCAAGUCAUGAAAGUCGGUAACACCCGAAGCCGGUGGCCCAACCUUUGGGGGGGAGCCGUCGAAGGUGGGACUGGCGAUUAGGACUAAGUCGUAACAAGGUAGCCGUAGGAGAACCUGCGGCUGGAUCACCUCCUU